UACGAAGGGGGCUAGCGUUGCUCGGAAUUACUGGGCGUAAAGCGCGCGUAGGCGGACCGGAAAGUCGGUUGUGAAAUCCCUGGGCUCAACCCAGGAACUGCAUCCGAAACUCCCGGUCUCGAGUGACGGAGAGGAUAGUGGAAUUCCCAGUGUAGAGGUGAAAUUCGUAGAUAUUGGGAAGAACACCAGUGGCGAAGGCGGC
rnacentral:rRNA from 1 species